rnacentral:rRNA from 1 species
GCGGCGAAGGUUAACCGAGAGGAUAAUUGGAGCGCUUAGAAGUGAGAAUGCCGGUAUGAGUAGCGAAAGAUAGGUGAGAAUCCUAUCCGCCGAAAGACUAAGGUUUCCUGGGGCAGGCUCGUCCGCCAGGGUAAGUCGGGACCUAAGGCAAGGCCGAGAGGCGUAGUCGAUGGAUAACAGGUAGAGAUUCCUGUACUGUGUUCAAUCGUUAAGAGCGAAGGAGGGACGCAGGAGGUGAAGCACGCAUCGCGA